GAUGAACGCUGGCGGCGUGCCUAAUACAUGCAAGUCGAGCGAACGGACGAGAAGCUUGCUUCUCUGAUGUUAGCGGCGGACGGGUGAGUAACACGUGGAUAACCUACCUAUAAGACUGGGAUAACUACGGGAAACCGGAGCUAAUACCGGAUGAUAUUUUGAACCGCAUGGUUCAAAAGUGAAAGACGGUCUUGCUGUCACUUAUAGAUGGAUCCGCGCUGCAUUAGCUAGUUGGUAAGGUAACGGCUUACCAAGGCAACGAUGCAUAGCCGACCUGAGAGGGUGAUCGGCCACACUGGAACUGAGACACGGUCCAGACUCCUACGGGAGGCAGCAGUAGGGAAUCUUCCGCAAUGGGCGAAAGCCUGACGGAGCAACGCCGCGUGAGUGAUGAAGGUCUUCGGAUCGUAAAACUCUGUUAUUAGGGAAGAACAUAUGUGUAAGUAACUGUGCACAUCUUGACGGUACCUAAUCAGAAAGCCACGGCUAACUACAUG
rnacentral:rRNA from 1 species